UGGGGAUUUUCCACUUCUCAAUGGGCUGCUCUGGAGCCCUUCAGACCCUUGAGAUCCGGAAGAAGGAAACUGCCACUGAGAAGGGGACUCAAGGGGCCACAAGUUGAGUGGGGGGCCCUCAGGACCCGGAGCAGGACGACCUGAGACAGCAGCCUCUCUCUUCUGCCAAGUGGCUGUUUGGCCUUGAAAAGUCACUCUCUUCUCUCUCUGGGUUCCCCGAAAGGGGAGAGGGGAUGGGCUAGAAAUCGAAUACCCUCCUCGAUGACUAAUCAGAAGAAGAAAUAUCUCUGAGCUCAGAGGAGCCUACUAUGGUCUUCAACCUGUUGCGUUUACCAUCCUAUCUAAUCUUUGUGACCAUCCUGCAGAUUUCGGGGAGCCUCUCCAUCUUACAGAUGAAGAAACAGGAGGGGAGAUUAAGUAGCGAGCCCACGUCACAGCAAAUGAAAUGGCAGAGACGACUUGGGUGCUAGUCAGACAGGAUUCAACAUCCCAACAGAUGAACACCCACUCCUCGGUUCUUCCACUAGGAUGGUCUCUGAGGGUCAACUCUGAUGUUUCUCCACAAAGCUUGAAUCACGGACCCUGCAACACGGAAUGCAAUUUAUUCCGCCUUCCAGAGACGAAAAGCAUCAAAGCAAGCUUCCGGGAAUUUAAUUUCAGCGUUUGCAUCCAAGUCACCAGGGGCUCAGGAGGCCAGGCGGGACACACUGCCCCGCGCUCGCUCUCGCCUUCUCUCUCUGUCAGAGGUGAGCAGCUCCAGCUCCCCCAUCAGAGAUCUGAGGGUCUGCCCCAUGCCUACCUCGUUCCACCGCAUCGAAUGAAUCCCCACUCUUGCCCAGCCCCAUGGCCCCAUUUCCACCGCCCCUGGGAGGGCAGAGCUCCCCACUCCACUCUCACAGACUUGCUGACACACCCUCAGCCACUGCCCUGGCCCUGGUUUGCCUCUCUAGGCACCUUCUCCACUCUCUCAAGGUUAUCCAUUCUGAAAUAUUAUCACGUUCCUAUUACAGCCGUCCAAUGGCUCCCCAAACCCACAGAGUCAAGGAUCAGCUCCCAGCAGAGCUUCCAAGACUCCCCGUCAUCCAACCACCCCCUCCAUCUCCAGCCCCAUCUCACCACACCCACCACACACACACACACACACACACACACACACACACACACACACGGAGCAGUGCCGGGCCUCGGGGCUUCCCGCCUCCACCCUUCUCCUCCUCUUCCCAGAACACUCUGCCCACCCUCGUCACAUGCUCACCCUUCUUCGCCUGCCAGCUCCUCCUCGCCCUUCAAGACUCAGCUUGGCAUCACCCCACAGGGAGCGUCCCCUGGGCCGCGGGUUGGGAGGUGCCUCCUCUGAGGACUGGUCAGGCCUCUUGAUGGCUGCAGACAAGGCACCCGCUCCCUGGUGACACCUCUGCCCUUCCCCAUCUCACCCAGCAGCCUGACUCUGAAUUCAGCAUGGCCUUCCUCCUGGUCCUCAGGCCCUGCCACUGGGCCUCUGGGGUGAAGUGUUCCAUCUAUGUUCCUUGGAAGUCCUGAAGCACCGUGGAGGUUGCACUGGGUCUCCAGUCUUACCAGGAAGGAGAAACAGCGGUCCAGGAACUCGGUACCCUGACUCUCCCGUGGAUUGUACUUAUUGCUCAGUCUCACCUUCUCCUGUGGACCCAGGUGUGCGCCUCCCGUGGGAGAUGGGAGUGGGAUCCUAGAGUGGGAUGGACCUAGGCAAUGCCCCCGGGCCCCUGCACCUCCAUGUCUUCAUCUGUAAAAUGAGGUCCUUAGUGCCUGAUGCAGGAUUGGCGGGAGCAUUCAGUGAGAUUAUCUAGAUGAAGCCUGAGGCGAGGUGCCUGGUAGAGAAACACGCUAAAUGUUGCCGCUGUUAUGACGACUUUCCCUGUAAUACUCUAAGCCCUUUAGACGCGCAUCCUCGCUUCAUCCUCUGAAAUCUGGAUUAUCAACCCCAUCCUACAAACAAGGAAACUGAAGCUCCAAAGGCUCAUCUCCCAUGAUCCAGGUCAAAGAGCUAACCUAAUAGUUCCCCAACUGUGCUCAGCAUCAGAAUCGCAUGGAGAGCUGGUUAAAACAAUUGAACAUUUGCAGUGUGCUGGGGCAGGGGUUGGCAAACUAUUUCUAUAGAGGGCCAGAGAGUAAAUAUUUUAGGCUUUGCGGGCCGUGGGGUCACUGACACAGCUAUGAACCCUGCCUUUAUAGCAGACAAAACAAUAAGGAAACAAAUGGGUGUGACUUCUUCCAGGAAGAGUUUAUUUGCAAAAACAGGCAGAAAGCCAGAUUUGGGCCACAGGUCACCAUCAAGUGCUGGGAAAAUGGAGAUGAUCAGAGAGAACGAAACAGGCAGAUGCAGAGCCCUGUGACCAGGCCUCUAACGCAGAGGUUCCUUCGAACGAGAUGAAGGACAGCCCAGAGAAGAGAGCUAGACGCAGUCAGAGAAGGACCGACGCAGGAAAUGACUUUGACUGGAUCCUGAGAAGUAAGUAGGAGCUCACCAGUCAGAGGGCGAAGAGUGUUACAGCUGGAAGGAACAGCGGAUGCAAAAGCACGGAGGCCGGAGAGAGUGCUGCCCACUCAGCCCAAGGGUCAUAGCUCAGCGCCAUGUUCCUGCCCUACCUCCCUUCUGGCGUAUUCUCAGAUUGUACCCUUUGGUGUAUUCUGUGAUUUUUUUUUUGACCUACUUGUUUGUAAGUGGGCUCCACCACUGGAAUAUAAGUUCUAUGAGGGCAGGAAUGGCCCACAAUAUGGAGUGAGGGGUCCCCUUUAUGUUUCCCCAGCACCCCGUGCCUGCUCUGACCAUGGAAGUCACCAUGUUGGGGGCAAUUGUCUUUUCAUGGGUCUGCCUAUUCCUCCGCCUCCAGCCGCUCCACAAUGAGACCCAGUUCUACUCAAUACGCAUGUGCGUCCUCUGCACGUGGACCUGUGACUGGGGCUCAGUAAGUACGUGCUGUGGGAUGCAUCAGUGGGAGUCACGCAGCGUGGGGAAAUGAGGAGUGCAGGGACUAAGGCAGAGAUGAUGCUGCAGAGGCUCCAGACUCAGGUCGUGGUGGCCCUGCAUCACAGGAAGGUGCUGGGAUGCUGACCCAGAUGUGCCGGGACACGGGUUAGCUUCUGUGUAGAACGAGCUCCCAGUUGGGGGACAGUCCCAUAAACGGGUAGUGCCAGUGUAUAUUCUGAAGAAGAAGGCAUGAAGUGCGCUACAGGCGGAGCUGUGCACCCAUGAGGAGGGAGCUUGCACUGUUUGGGGAGGGUAGGUAGAUAAGGGGUAGACCACAACACCCACCGCCCCCUAAACUAGGAGGCAGCCCUGCCUUCGGGGACAGAGUACUUACUAGCUGUGACUUGGUACAAGUCACAUCACUUCUUGGCCUCUGUUUCUCACCUGAAAACAGAAACAACCAUAACAUCACUGUCCUAGCUCGGGCUCCCCAGGAGACAAACUCUGAGGAAGAGAUUUGGGUGCAGAAGGUGCACUGAGGGGUGGCCCCAUCCACCCAGGGGGAGGAAGAAACAGGACAGGGCAGAGGGAGGUUCUGGACUGCAAGACAGUCACCCUGAAGGUCUCGGCUGACCCCUUGGGAACCGGGCUGGAAGGCCCUGCGGGGGUGAGCUGAGUUGGCCUGGGGGCUUGGCUUUGCGCCCCCACAUAGGCCAGUAGUUGGAUGCAGGCAGCCUGGAGAUGGCCGUGUGACCUUAGGGGAGGCAUAUCCCUUCAACCAAGGGCAAUUCCUGGGGAGGGAUUCAGCUGAGAGCCAAGCGACCAGUCUCCCCCCGAGGGGUCCUGGGCAGCUGAUGACUCAGUCCCCUACACCCACCUCAGGGGUGCCAGGUGGAGCGCAGAGGAGGACACACUGUGAAGACCUUGCCUCUGCGAGUCAGGAGGAUCUUGUCGUAUGUCUUAUCUGACAAUCAGUUAAGUGACCACAUGAGAGAGGGGUCAUUUCUCAAAUAGCGAAAUGAUUCUCUAUGGUUUCCUCUUGAAAAAAAAAUGAUGAGCUCCAAGAAAAACGAGGCCAGCUUGAAGUUCAUGUUGUUGUACAAUGAGUCUCUUACAGGCACCCACAGCAUCACAGCAAUAGAGGGACCAAUCCAGCCUCCCACUGAGCGGAGAGGGAAAUUGAGGCCCAGGGAGAAAGAUGGCGAAGCUUGGACAAGGACGCAGGUCUUUCGACCGUCAGAUGCGUGCCUUCUCACGUCAGCCCACAGGUUCCUCUUGCCGAGAUCCUCUCCAAGCUAACACCCGAUCGUGGAAACAGACCAUACUCAACCCAGCAAGUCUUCUAAAAGUCCUUGUGCUGUGGUCUGGGGACUGAGCUCUCUGGCUCUGGAUUGGACCAGAUCUUUGCACAGAUUCCAGCUCUAUCACUGCCCAGCUGGGUGACCUUAGAGAAGCCACUCACCUUCUGCACCUGCCUUCUCAUCUGUAAACUCGGCAUGGUAAGGAAACGAAGACUCCAGGAGCCUAUUUUCCAAAGGCCGCAUUACCAACAAAGGACAGACCGAGAUUUGGACUCUCAUGUCCUGAUCCCCGCCUCAGGCUCUUUCUGCCAGAACCACAGACAAAUCCACAAAGUGACCCUCCGUGAAUCUUAGAGGUCAUUUAAAGGUAGCGGUGUCUGCCUCGCUACUCAAAGUGUGGUCCGUGGACCAGCAGCAUCUGUACUCCCUCAGGGCCUGGUAGCUGUGCAGAAUCUCAGGCCCCAGGCUGGACCCGAGGAAUCAGAAUCUGCAUUUUAAUGAGGCCCCUGGGUGAUCUGUAUGCACACAACAGUUUGGGAAACAUUUGCCUAUGGGGUAUCAUUUCAGACUUUCAAGAAUUUUUACCAUUAGAAAUGAAGAUAACAACAACAGUCAGCAUCGUUAAACUCAGCAUCCUGAUCCAACCACAGACCGGUCCAAACUUUUCAAAAUAUCAUCUGAGCAGAAAAGCUUAUAAACUGCUUUGCUUAUCAGCCAACAGCUGACCUCAGAACCUUUGGCAAGACAAAAUGUUCUGCCCUCCCAAUGAGAUCAGUAUCGCAUUUCUGGUGGUGUAUUUAUCUAGUUUUCAUUGCUGACAUGUAUUACGUAACACCACCCCUCUUUCUUCUGCCAUCACUGGCUUAUUUGAACAUCUGACUUACCUUGACCCUAGAGCACAGUGCAGCUUAUGCAACAAUCUGAACGUUUCUCCUCAGAAGUCCCCUGUGUCCCCAUGGUGGCCUCGGCUCCUGUCCUCAUGCCGCAGACAAGAUAGCUGUGUCCCACCUCUGAUUCUCUAGGCGACUUUAGGAUCCAGCCCUGGCUGCGUGCUUACUGCCUCCCAUUCUUCGAGGAUUUUCUGGGCUUGACUAAGAGUCUUUCAGAUCUUCUUUCCCAACUGUGCUGGGCUUCGAGACUGCUCAGAGAACAGAGGCACCUGGCUCAGAACGUGUGUAGAUAAUACCAAGCAGAAUCUUCCUCCUCUCUCCGUGAUGGGGAAUGAGGGGGCCAGCAGGCAGAUCAGGACCAAGGAUGGGACCCGAGGGGUCGGCUGGGGAAGGAAGAGGUCCAGAGAGAACAGUGCUGAAAACCCAGGGUUCUAGGGUCCAACAGAACUGAGACUUGAUCCAGCUCGGCUUCUUAUUUGCUGGGUGACAUUGGGUAGAUUACUCACCUACUUUGAGCCUCUUGGUCUCAUCUAUAACAGGGAGAGGAUGAUGCCGACCUCUGGGACUAAGUUGGCUAACAUUAGUAAAAUUCUGGAUGCUAGGCUUGUCAUAUACAGACAUUCAAUAAGAGGGAGCUUGUUUUUUGAUUGUAGAGUAAGUCAUUGAGGGAGACAGCCCACAAAUGUCAUGAAACUUCCAAUUCUUAAAACACACACACAUGCUAACAUGUUUUCCUGCAUAAAAUUCAAUAAAGAAUAACUGAAAAAA
ensembl:lncRNA